GAGAUUGGGCUUGACAUCCACGAACCUGGUGAAAGCCGGGAGUGCCCGCAAGGGAGCGCAGAGACAGGUGGUGCAUGGCUGUCGUCAGCUCGUGUCGUGAGAUGUUGGGUUAAGUCCCGCAACGAGCGCAACCCUCACCCUUUGUUGCCAUCAGGUUAUGCUGGGCACUCUAAGGGAACUGCCUCGGUUAACGAGGAGGAAGGUGGGGAUGACGUCAAGUCAUCAUGCCCCUUACGCUCUGGGCUACACACGUGCUACAAUGGCCAAUACAAAGGGCUGCAAACCCGCGAGGGCAAGCCAAUCCCAAAAAAUUGGUCUCAGUUCAGAUUGUAGGCUGCAACCCGCCUGCAUGAAGGAGGAAUCGCUAGUAAUCGUGGAUCAGCAUGCCACGGUGAAUACGUUCCCGGGCCUUGUACACACCGCCCGUCACACCACGAAAGUCUGCUGUACUCGAAGUCGCUGAGA
rnacentral:rRNA from 1 species